rnacentral:hammerhead_ribozyme from 1 species
ACCCGGUUGACGGGUCCCAAAUAGGACGAAACGCGCGUCCUAUAU